GACUGGAUGGCCGAGUGGUCCAAGGCGCUACGUUAAGGCCGCAGUCUACUCCGGUGGGCGUGGGUUCGAACCCACUCCAGUCA
rnacentral:tRNA from 1 species